UACGUAGGGUGCGAGCGUCAAUCGGAAUUACUGGGCGUAAAGCGUGCGCAGGCGGUUCUGUAAGCCAGAUGUGAAAGCCCCGGGCUUAACCUGGGAAUGGCAUUUGGGACUGCAAGGCUUGAGUGCGGCAGAGGAGACUGGAAUUCCUGGUGUAGCAGUGAAAUGCGUAGAUAUCAGGAAGAACACCCGUGGCGAAGGCGGCUCUCUGGGACGGUACUGACGCUGAGACGCGAAAGCGUGGGGAGCGAACAGG
rnacentral:rRNA from 1 species